ensembl:snRNA U6 U6 spliceosomal RNA
GUGCUUGCUUUGGCAGCACAUAUAAUAAAAUUGAAAUAAUACAGAGAAGACUAGCAUGACUCAUGUGCAAAGGUCACAUGCAGUUUCUUGGGACAUUCCAUAUUUUG